CCUCCUCCUCUCUCUCUCUCUCUCUCUCUCUCACACACACACACACACACACACACACACACAGUAAUUUUGAAAGUAGUAGAUUUUGGUGCAGAGUUUUUCAAUCUGAAUCAUGAUGGUACCUCACCUUUUUGUUGCCUCUUGUUAUUUAUUCUUUCAUGUCUUGAUGAGAUGAAGUCUGCAACAAGAGGAAGCAACGAACAAGAAUCGUCAAUGUCUCUACCCUUCCUGAUGGGCAGAUCUGUUGUGAUGUAUGUGAUUUUCAUGAAGAAAAUGCUUGUGAUCUAAGUAUUCAGAGAGAUCCCACACAACGCUCUUUUUGGAAAUUUUCAUGUGUACUUCUACGACGAGAUGUGAAAUUUUGCUGGUGAUUUUAAACCAGCCAUGAUCUUAGCCUCAGCGACUGCUCCUUCAAUGAUCAUUGGAGGUUCUCAACUAUUGGAUUGGGCCACUUUCUCACAUUGAUUGAUGCUCUCAUAGUUCCUAUUUUUUAUAUUCUUGCUGAGUAUUCAGAGAGAUCCCACACAACACCUUUUUGGAAAUUUUCAUGUGAACUUCUACGGCUAGAUGGGAAAUUUUGCUGGUGAUUUUAGCCCAGCCAAGAUCUUAGCCUCGCCAACUGCUCCUAUUGAUUUUUCGAUGAUCAUUGAAGGUUCUCAACCAUUGGAUUGAACCGCAUUCUCACAUUGAUGGGUGCUCUCAUAGUUGCUACUUUUUGAUAUUCUUGCUGAGACCUCUCUUUUCUCUUAUGAAAGAUUUGAUCUUAUAUCAUUCUACUAAACUGAAAUUCACCAUGAUGGAGGCCUUGCAUGGGAUUUUGUAUUGCCAUUUUUUACUUCUUUUCCAUGCUCAAUAGAUUUCUUGUUUCUUAUGAAAUAUCUGUGCUGUUUUACUGAUGUAUUUGGUGAUUUCUGUGUUUGACUGCCUAACCAGAAUUAUUUCAUUGCAGUUUCUUUAUCUCUUUGUAGCAUUCCUUUCCAUGCUUGAUGAAUCUUUUAUUUCUUGUGAAAUAUUUGAUCUUAUUCUGUUUUACUGAUGUAUUAAAUGAUUUCAAUGUUGAUGGGCUCAUUUCACAUGUAAGAAGUUGGACCACUCAGAUGGAAUAUUUAUGCCCAAUUUCUUUCGUUCUUUUUUUUUUUUUCCUUUCUUAGUCAUGCUUGAUAGAUUUCUUAAGGCUUUGAUGUUGCUCCAUUUUACUAUUCUGUUUAGUUAUUUUAUAUUUCUAUUUCUGGAAGACUUGGAUGGGAUAAUAAUUCUAUUGUUUCUUUCUUUCUUUUCCUGUUUGACAGAACUCUUCAUUAUGAACUUGGUAAGGACUUUUGACUCGUGAGGAAUAGUAACUGAUAUUAAUUGAAUCAAUUGUUUAACCCUAUUUUGAUUUUGGGUUUCUUUCGGAGAAGUUUGAAGCAUCUACAUCUAUAUCCAUCCAUCUUUUUAUAUAUGUAUAAAAUUGCUUGAGGCCAUAUGAGAUUUUAUUGGCAGGUUUCAUAUGUUAAGGUGCAAAUUUGAACUGAAAAGUGAUUUUUGAAUGAAAUAAUAGCAGUCUAUAAGUAAAAAUAUUAUUUGACACAAA